rnacentral:rRNA from 1 species
CAGCCCCACGGUAAGACAGAGGAUGCAAGCGUUAUCCGGAAUGAUUGGGCGUAAAGGGCUCGCGGGCGGUUUCUUAAGUCUGAUGUGAAAGCCCCCGGCUCAACCGGGGAGGGUCAUUGGAAACUGGGAAACUUGGGUGCAGAAGAGGAGAGUGGAAUUCCACGUGUAGCGGUGAAAUGCGUAGAGAUGUGGAGGAACACCAGUGGCGAAGGCGACUCUCUGGUCUGUAGCUGACGCUGAGGAGCGAAAGCGUGGGGAGCGAACAGGAUUAGAUACCCCAGUAGUCCCUGUCUCUUAUACA